rnacentral:rRNA from 1 species
GCCAGACUCCUACGGGAGGCAGCAGUGAGGAAUAUUGGUCAAUGGGCGCGAGCCUGAACCAGCCAAGUAGCGUGAAGGAUGACUGCCCUACGGAUUGUAAACUUCUUUUAUAAAGGAAUAAAGUGGGGCACGUGUGCCUUUUUGUAUGUACUUUAUGAAUAAGGAUCGGCUAACUCCGUGCCAGCAGCCGCGGUUAUACGGAGGAUCCGAGCGUUAUCCGGAUUUAUUGGGGUUAAAGGGAGCGUAGAUGGGUUGUUAAGUCAGGUGUGAAAGUUUGCGGCUCAACCGUAAAAUUGCAAUUGAUACUGGCAGCCUUGAGUACAGUUGAGGUAGGCGGAAUUCGUGGUGUAGCGGUGAAAUGCAUAGAUAUCACGCAGAACGCCGAUUGCGAAGGCAGCGCACCGGCGCCCUACUGACGCUCAGGCACGAAGGCGUGGGUAUCGAACAGGAUUAGAUCCCCCAGUAGC